rnacentral:rRNA from 1 species
GACGAACGCUGGCGGCGUGCUUAACACAUGCAAGUCGAACGGAAAGGCCCUGCUUUUGUGGGGUGCCCGAGUGGCGAACGGGUGAGUAACACGUGAGUAACCUGCCCUUGACUUUGGGAUAACUUCAGGAAACUGGGGCUAAUACCGGAUAGGAGCUCCUGCUGCAUGGUGGGGGUUGGAAAGUUUCGGCGGUUGGGGAUGGACUCGCGGCUUAUCAGCUUGUUGGUGGGGUAGUGGCUUACCAAGGCUUUGACGGGUAGCCGGCCUGAGAGGGUGACCGGCCACAUUGGGACUGAGAUACGGCCCAGACUCCUACGGGAGGCAGCAGUGGGGAAUAUUGCACAAUGGGCGGAAGCCUGAUGCAGCAACGCCGCGUGCGGGAUGACGGCCUUCGGGUUGUAAACCGCUUUCGCCUGUGACGAAGCGUGGGUGACGGUAAUGGGUAAAGAAGCACCGGCUAACUACGUG